CAGCCCGCGUUCGCCUCCCGGGCGCCGCGCGCAGCGCGCCUAAGGGGAGGGGCCAGGCGGGGAGGAGCGCGCCUGGCGGGGCUGGGGGAGGACGAGUGGGGGCAAGCGCUGGGUGCACGUCCGGCCCCCUACAGGGAGAGGCGGAGGCCGGAGAGCAGCGGAGAGUGGGUCGGUCCGUGUCGCCUAGGCCUGCGGCUCCGGACUAGCCGCCCUGCGCCCGCUCUCAGGAUCCCUCUCAGCUCCUCAGCUUGCUAAGUCCCCAGGAGAGAGCCAAGCAACGCUUUUGGUGAUAGUACGAGGCCCACACAACAGAGGGAGGGACUGAGGCCCAAAGCGAUCAAACCAGAUGCCCACAAUACCGCAGCAAGGGAUGCUACACAGUUGGCUUUUGACCCAAGAAAUGUGACUCCAGGGUCUGUGUUGUAACCACUGCAGAUAGUGCCUGCCUAAAAUAGGUCUCCAGACUCCCUGUCCCUCUGACAUUACAUUAUGUAUUUGGUUUUUGCCUAUCUCCGCACAUUGAACGGUAAACUCCAGGGCAGAAAGGGGCCUUCACUCCUGCAGCAUCUCCCAGCACCUACAGCAGCAAGAAGCAUGAGAAACACCCAAAAACUA